ACGUACACUCCUACGGGAGGCAGCAGUGGGGAAUUUUGGACAAUGGGCGAAAGCCUGAUCCAGCCAUGCCGCGUGCAGGAUGAAGGCCUUCGGGUUGUAAACUGCUUUUGUACGGAACGAAACGGCCUUUUCUAAUAAAGAGGGCUAAUGACGGUACCGUAAGAAUAAGCACCGGCUAACUACGUGCCAGCAGCCGCGGUAAUACGUAGGGUGCAAGCGUUAAUCGGAAUUACUGGGCGUAAAGCGUGCGCAGGCGGUUAUGUAAGACAGUUGUGAAAUCCCCGGGCUCAACCUGGGAACUGCAUCUGUGACUGCAUAGCUAGAGUACGGUAGAGGGGGAUGGAAUUCCGCGUGUAGCAGUGAAAUGCGUAGAUAUGCGGAGGAACACCGAUGGCGAAGGCAAUCCCCUGGACCUGUACUGACGCUCAUGCACGAAAGCUUGGGGAGCAAACAGGAUUAGAAACCCCUGUAGUCCC
rnacentral:rRNA from 1 species